CUACGGGGGGCUCCAGUGAGGAAUCUUCCACAAUGGACGAAAGUCUGAUGGAGCGACACCGCGUGAAGGAUGAAGGUUUAACGAUUGUAAACUUCUUUUCUGAGGGAGCAUAAUGAUAGUAUCUCAGGAAUAAGAGGCGGCUAAAUACGUGCCAGCAGCCGCGGUAAUACGUAUGCCUCGAGCGUUAUCCGGAAUUACUGGGUGUAAAGGGUUUGUAGGCGGCUUAUUAAGUCAGGUGUGAAAGACCGGAGCUCAACUUCGUGUUUGUGCUUGAAACUGAUAGGCUAGAAUUAGGGAGAGGUUAGCAGAAUUCUAAGUGUAGGGGUGCAAUCCGUAGAUACUUAGAGGAAUACCAAAAGCGAAGGCAGCUAACUGGAACUAUAUUGACGCUGAGGAACGAAAGCGUGGGGAGCGAAAAGGAUUAGAUACCCGCGUAGUC
rnacentral:rRNA from 1 species